AAAGAGGGGUUAACUGUUUCCCUUUCAAGUCAAAGAAAUUGAUCUGCCCGUGCAGAAGCGGGUAUAUAAAUACAAGACGAGAAGACCCUUUGGAGCUUAAGAUAAAAAAUCAACUAUGUCAAAUAUUUACUAAAUAAAACUAAAUAGUAACUGAUCAUAAUCUUCGGUUGGGCGACCAACGGAAUACGGAUAAACAACUGCACAUGGAGGGGAAAAACCUCCUUUAACAAGAGAGAUUCUCUAAGUCACAGAACAUCUCUGAGACCAAUAGAUCCGGCCAAUCAAGCCGAUCACAAUACGGACCAAGUUACCCCUAGGGAAUUAUAACAGC
rnacentral:rRNA from 1 species